GGCUGGUACAAUGGUAGGGAGUCAUCAGAAUUUGUUAACAUUAGUGUCAAUAAAGUUGGUAUACAACCCUCCACUGCUAAAUUUGACUGGCUUAC
rnacentral:Y_RNA from 1 species